UUCCUACGGGAGGCAGCAGUGAGGAAUAUUGGUCAAUGGGCUUACGCCUGAACCAGCCAAGUCGCGUGAGGGAAGACUGCCCUAUGGGUUGUAAACCUCUUUUGUCAGGGAGCAAUUGGCGCUACGUGUAGCGUUAUCGAGAGUACCUGAAGAAAAAGCAUCGGCUAACUCCGUGCCAGCAGCCGCGGUGAUACGGAGGAUGCGAGCGUUAUCCGGAUUUAUUGGGCGUAAAGAGAGCGCAGGCGGUUGGAUAAGUCUGAAGGUAAAGGCUGGGGCCCA
rnacentral:rRNA from 1 species